GACGAACGCUGGCGGCGUGCUUAACACAUGCAAGUCGAACGGAAAGGCCCUGCUUUUGUGGGGUGCUCGAGUGGCGAACGGGUGAGUAACACGUGAGUAACCUGCCCUUGACUUUGGGAUAACUUCAGGAAACUGGGGCUAAUACCGGAUAGGAGCUCCUGCUGCAUGGUGGGGGUUGGAAAGUUUCGGCGGUUGGGGAUGGACUCGCGGCUUAUCAGCUUGUUGGUGGGGUAGUGGCUUACCAAGGCUUUGACGGGUAGCCGGCCUGAGAGGGUGACCGGCCACAUUGGGACUGAGAUACGGCCCAGACUCCUACGGGAGGCAGUAGGGGGGAAUAUUGCACAAUGGGCGGAAGCCUGAUGCAGAAACGCCGCGUUCGGGAUGACGGCCUUCGGGUUGUAAACCGCUUUCGCCUGUGACGAAGCGUGAGUGACGGUAAUGGGUAAAGAAGCAUCGGCUAACUACGUG
rnacentral:rRNA from 1 species